rnacentral:rRNA from 1 species
AUAUCACUAAGCGGAGGAGAAGAAACUAACCAGGAUUUCCCUAGUGACGGCGAGCGAACCGGAAAGAGCCCAGCUUGGAAAUCGUGGUGCCUCGCACCUCGAGUUGUAGUCUGGGGAAGGCUCCUCUGCGCCGCGCCGGGCCCAAGUUCCCUGGAAAGGGACGUCAUCGAGGGUGACAACCCCGUCCGCGCCCGGAACGCGUCGCUCCACGAGGACCCGUCUGCGAGUCGGGCUGUUUGGGAAUGCAGCCCUAAUCGGGAGGUAAAUUCCUUCCAAGGCUAAAAUAUGGGCAAGAGACCGAUAGCGCACAAGUA